rnacentral:tRNA from 1 species
GAGCUUGUCGUGCGAUGGGAAGGGUUCGGAUACCCUGGGUGAGAUACUGAUUGGAGCUUUUAAUCAGUAGGUCGCUGGUUCGAAUCCAGCUGGGCUCACCA